UGGGGAAUAUUGCGCAAUGGCCGAAAGGUUGACGCAGCGACGCCGCGUGUGGGAGGACGCCCUUCGGGGUGUAAACCACUGUCAGGGGGGAAGAACUUCGUAGGUGUGAAUAGCACUUGCGGUUGACGGUACCCCCAGAGGAAGCGCCGGCUAACUCAGUGCCAGCAGCCGCGGUAAUACUGAGGGCGCAAGCGUUGUUCGGAAUUACUGGGCGUAAAGGGCAGGUAGGUGGUCUGUUAAGUCUUCUGUGAAAAUCCGGGGCUCAACCCCGCGAAAUGCAGGUGAAACUGGCAGACUUGAGACCGGUAGAGGCUAGCGGAAUUCCUGGUGUAGCGGUGGAAUGCGUAGAUAUCAGGAAGAACACCUGUGGCGAAGGCGGCUAGCUGGGCCGAUUCUGACACUGAACUGCGAAAGCGUGGGGAGCAAACAGG
rnacentral:rRNA from 1 species